GACGAACGCUGGCGGCGUGCUUAACACAUGCAAGUCGAACGGUAAGGCCCUUCGGGGUACACGAGUGGCGAACGGGUGAGUAACACGUGGGUGAUCUGCCCUGCACUUUGGGAUAAGCCUGGGAAACUGGGUCUAAUACCGAAUACACCCUGCUGGUCGCAUGGCCUGGUGGGGGAAAGCUUUUGCGGUGUGGGAUGGGCCCGCGGCCUAUCAGCUUGUUGGUGGGGUGAUGGCCUACCAAGGCGACGACGGGUAGCCGGCCUGAGAGGGUGUCCGGCCACACUGGGACUGAGAUACGGCCCAGACUCCUACGGGAGGCAGCAGUGGGGAAUAUUGCACAAUGGGCGCAAGCCUGAUGCAGCGACGCCGCGUGAGGGAUGACGGCCUUCGGGUUGUAAACCUCUUUCAAUAGGGACGAAGCGCAAGUGACGGUACCUAUAGAAGAAGCACCGGCCAACUACGUGCCAGCAGCCGCGGUAAUACGUAGGGUGCGAGCGUUGUCCGGAAUUACUGGGCGUAAAGAGCUCGUAGGUGGUUUGUCGCGUUGUUCGUGAAAACUCACAGCUUAACUGUGGGCGUGCGGGCGAUACGGGCAGACUGGAGUACUGCAGGGGAGACUGGAAUUCCUGGUGUAGCGGUGGAAUGCGCAGAUAUCAGGAGGAACACCGGUGGCGAAGGCGGGUCUCUGGGCAGUAACUGACGCUGAGGAGCGAAAGCGUGGGGAGCGAACAGGAUUAGAUACCCUGGUAGUCCACGCCGUAAACGGUGGGUACUAGGUGUGGGUUUCCUUCCUUGGGAUCCGUGCCGUAGCUAACGCAUUAAGUACCCCGCCUGGGGAGUACGGCCGCAAGGCUAAAACUCAAAGAAAUUGACGGGGGCCCGCACAAGCGGCGGAGCAUGUGGAUUAAUUCGAUGCAACGCGAAGAACCUUACCUGGGUUUGACAUGCACAGGACGCCGGCAGAGAUGUCGGUUCCCUUGUGGCCUGUGUGCAGGUGGUGCAUGGCUGUCGUCAGCUCGUGUCGUGAGAUGUUGGGUUAAGUCCCGCAACGAGCGCAACCCUUGUCUCAUGUUGCCAGCACGUUAUGGUGGGGACUCGUGAGAGACUGCCGGGGUCGACUCGGAGGAAGGUGGGGAUGACGUCAAGUCAUCAUGCCCCUUAUGUCCAGGGCUUCACACAUGCUACAAUGGCCGGUACAAAGGGCUGCGAUGCCGUGAGGUGGAGCGAAUCCUUUCAAAGCCGGUCUCAGUUCGGAUCGGGGUCUGCAACUCGACCCCGUGAAGUCGGAGUCGCUAGUAAUCGCAGAUCAGCAACGCUGCGGUGAAUACGUUCCCGGGCCU
rnacentral:rRNA from 1 species